AUAUCUCUCUGUACGGGAAGGAUGAGAAGCUUCGACUAAGGUUCGAUUCGAGCGUCAGCGAGAAAGCGUUGCCGCAGGCAACGACCCGAAGGGCGAAGCGCGCAGCGUUGAGUCAUCCUUCCCCCACCACCA
rnacentral:sRNA from 1 species